GCCGGGUGCAGUGGCAUGUGCUUGUUGUCCCAGCUACUUGGGAGGCUGAGGUGGGAGGACUGCUUGAGCCCAGGAGUUCUGGACUGUAGUGUGCUAUGCCGAUUGGGUGUCCUCACUAAGUUCAGCAUCAAUAUGGUGACCUCCUGGGAACGGGGGACCACCAGGUUGCCUAAGGAGGGGUUAAUCAGCCCAGGUCGGAAACGGAACAGGUCAAAACUCCCACGCUGGCUGAUCAGUAAUGGGAUCGUGCCUGUGAAUAGCCACUGCAUUCCAGCCUGGGCAACAUAGCGAGACCCCGUCUCUU
ensembl:misc_RNA Metazoa_SRP Metazoan signal recognition particle RNA